rnacentral:misc_RNA from 1 species
GAUGAAGAACGUAGCGAAAUGCGAUAAGUAAUGUGAAUUGCAGAAUUCAGUGAAUCAUCGAAUCUUUGAACGCACAUUGCGCCCGCCAGUAUUCUGGCGGGCAUGCCUGUUCGAGCGUCAUUUCAACCAUCAAGCCCCCGGGCUUGUGUUGGGGACCUGCGGCUGCCGCAGGCCCCGAAAAUCAGUGGCGGGCUCGCUGUCACCCCGAGCGUAGUAGUUUACACCUCGCCCAGGGCGUGCCGCGGGUUCCCGGCCGUUAAACCCCCCCAUACCACAAGGUUGACCUCGGAUCAGGUAGGAAGACCCGCUGAACUUAAGCAUAUCAAUAAGCGGAGGA